rnacentral:rRNA from 1 species
UACAGAGGUCUCAAGCGUUGUUCGGAUUCAUUGGGCGUAAAGGGUGCGUAGGUGGCGCUGUAAGUCGGGUGUGAAAUUUCGGAGCUUAACUCCGAAACUGCAUUCGAUACUGCGGUGCUUGAGGACUGGAGAGGAGACUGGAAUUCAUGGUGUAGCAGUGAAAUGCGUAGAGAUCAUGAGGAAGACCAGUGGCGAAGGCGGGUCUCUGGGACGGUACUGACGCUGAGACGCGAAAGCGUGGGGAGCAAACAGG